rnacentral:rRNA from 1 species
CCUACGGGGGGCAGCAGUGAGGAAUAUUGGUCAAUGGACGAGAGUCUGAACCAGCCAAGUAGCGUGAAGGAUGACUGCCCUAUGGGUUGUAAACUUCUUUUAUAUGGGAAUAAAAUGUUCCACGUGUGGGUUUUUGUAUGUACCAUAUGCAUAAGGAUCGGCUAACUCCGUGCCAGCAGCCGCGGUAAUACGGAGGAUCCGAGGGUUAUCCGGAUUUAUUGGGUUUAAAGGGGGCGUAGGUGGAUUGUUAAGUCAGUUGUGAAAGUUUGCGGCUCAACCGUAAAAUUGCAGUUGAAACUGGCAGUCUUGAGUACAGUAGAGGUGGGCGGAAUUCGUGGUGUAGCGGUGAAAUGCUUAGAUAUCACGAAGAACUCCGAUUGCGAAGGCAGCUCACUGGACUGCAACUGACACUGAGGCUCGAAAGUGUGGGUAUCAAACAGGAUUAGAUACCCCGGUAGUC